rnacentral:rRNA from 1 species
UGCCAGACUCCUACGGGAGGCAGCAGUGGGGAAUAUUGCACAAUGGGGGAAACCCUGAUGCAGCAACGCCGCGUGAGUGAAGAAGUAUUUCGGUAUGUAAAGCUCUCUCAGCAGGGAAGAAAAUGACGGUACCUGACUAAGAAGCCCCGGCUAACUACGUGCCAGCAGCCGCGGUAAUACGUAGGGGGCAAGCGUUAUCCGGAUUUACUGGGUGUAAAGGGAGCGUAGACGGCAUGGCAAGUCAGAUGUGAAAGCCCGGGGCUCAACCCCGGGACUGCAUUUGAAACUGUCAGGCUGGAGUGCAGGAGAGGUAAGUGGAAUUCCUAGUGUAGCGGUGAAAUGCGUAGAUAUUAGGAGGAACACCAGUGGCGAAGGCGGCUUACUGGACUGUAACUGACGUUGAGGCUCGAAAGCGUGGGGAGCAAACAGGAUUAGAUACCCGAGUA